rnacentral:other from 1 species
AUACCCCUGGGGUGUGCGAUAACUCUCUUUAUUUUGAACCUACAUUUACUUAAUGGGACUCCUAUAUAGUCGGCGGUAAUGUCAGGCCCUCCUUCGAAGGGAAGACAGCGGCGCCCUCUGCGGACACCCACCUGGCUUCGGCUAGGCGUCAAAAUUAGGGAACCGGCACUCUGGGGUUUUU